AGAGAAGGUAAGGGCUUUGUGUGCCGCUGUGGACCCGGACGCACUGCGCUCCCUUUGCCUUGUCUGACUGCGUCGCUAGCCCCACUGAGGCACAAGGGGUGGGCGUGGGGACUCCGAGAGGGGCAGCGGGUCACCUGGGGUCUUUGUGAAAUACGUUUCUCCCUUUUCUUCUCCCUUCCAUUUUGCCUGACUAGGAUUAGCGUUUGGGGCUUCGAUCAGACUGGGCAAAUGGCACAGUAAGGACGGGUGGGUGAAGCAGCACGCAGCCCAAGAAGGGUCGCGGUCUACCUCUGGGGGGGGGCUUCCCUCACAGCCGUCUCCCCACCGCGGGCAGGUGGUGGGCAGUGCUGGAACCUGCACACAGGAGGCGUGAUGAGCUCGAGGUUGUGAGGGGAGGCACGGGGGAGGCGCGUGGAGGGAGAAGAGGGCAAGUGAGAGGCUGAGGGGCAGCAAGGAGAUGGGGCGCGGCGUGUACUUUAUGGCCAGUAUUCAUAAUGGUCAGGCCUCGAGAACUGGAUUACUGCUUCCCCGGGACAUUCCACAGUUUACCAUUUUCUUAGCUGCCCACCACCCACAGUGAAUCAGUAACCCUCUGCAGGAGCUCUAGGCGGGAUUCAAUUGAUGUAUCCCUGCCUUGUGGUGGGCUUAUUUGUCCUUAACCUCUGCAGUGCCCGGAGCCCCCCCGCAUCUCCUGUGGCUGUGUAACCUUCUUUCCAGGAGACCGAGUGUGGAAAAUGCGGCUGGAUAACGGCUAGCAAGUUAAUGGUCUUUCAGAGCUGCGACAGAUGAGUGGGCAACUUGGAACACAGCCCGAGUGUGGGCGUGGCAACAACUCACCAGGCCUAGGGAGCCUCAGCUUCUGCCUUCUGAGCUCCUGCUUGCCUACAAGUGUUUUCCUCCUCUUAAGGCGACAUAUGGUUGUUAUCUAAUAUGGAAUACAUUUUAAGAGGCAAAUGAACCUUUCAAAAUGUCACUUGAAUGAGGAGGCAGGAGUAUCCAAACCUGGUGUCUGAAUACCACAGGUUAUGUAGUGCUAAUGUAAUCAACAAAGGUCAUUCUUUCCUUUGGCGUUCAAAACCCUUCAUGAUUCCAGUGCCUACCUACCUCUGUCCUCCUUUGGACCUGGGCCACCUUAAAUUAUCUACCCAUCUUUGCAGCAAACAGCUCCUGGUUUCCACAUGUCACAGGCAUUCUCAGAACCUGUGUGACUCAGGUGGAGCUCCAUGCCUCUUGGACAUCCCUGCAUUACCCCUGAUGAUUUUUACCCAAAUCCUGGUCCAACUGAUUUGCACCCUUAUGGAAAUCUGAAUUAGUUUUAUCUUCAUGGUACUUUGUAUUGCGUUGUUGACAUUUGUUUCAGUCUUAUCUGUGAUAUUCGUCUUUAUUCUGUACCUGGCACUUUAUACCUAGAAAGUACACAAAGGAUGUUUUAUUUGAAAAAUGUGAAUAAAUGAGGGCAUGGGUGAUAGCAUGCAUACAUCUUUCCUUUCUGUAGAAAAAGAAUAGAGCUUUUCUAAGAGCCCUGUGUGGAUUCGUUGCAGUUGUGAAAAUGAAGUCUCCUGUGUGUGACAGACCGAAGCUUUUCCUGUUGCUCAUUGAGUAAGAGACCUUAAAAGGAUCACUGAGAGUGUCUAGUACCAAGACAUUCAGAAAGUGUUUUUAAUUUUCAGAAUUUUCAUUAGUACAUGUUUGCAGUGCAUAAUGAUUAUACUUGUUGUGGGGAGUUGUAAUACAUCGAAUUUUUUUUACAUCCCCUUAGGAAAAAGUUUGUUGAAGAGCUCCUUUGUCAGCCCCACAUUUCAAACUCUAUGGGCAGCAUAUGCAAUGGAUUAAUCCAAGUGAAUAAAAAAUGAUUUUCAUCUUU